GAAUUGGGUGGAUCAGCCAUGCGAGUUGAUGGGAUACCUAAAUUUCCCAUAGCGAACUGCUCAGUAACACAUGAUCAACUUAACCUAUAGAGAAAAAUAACCUCGGGAAACUGAGGAUAAUGUUUCAUAGUUGAAUUGGCUUGGAAAAGCUUUUCAACAAAAGGAAUAAGAUAAAUGGAUCUUAUUUGCUGUAGGAUAGGAUCGUGUUCGAUUAUGGUUGUUGGUGAGGUAAUGGCUCACCAAGCCGAUAAUCGAUAGGGGCCGUGAGAGCGGGAGCCCCGAGAUGGGUACUGAGACAACGACCCAGGCCUUACGAGGCGCAGCAGGCGCGGAACCUCCGCAAUACACGAAAGUGUGACGGGGUUACCCAAAGUGUUCAAUUUUGAACUGUGGUAGGUGAGUAAUGUUCCCUACUAGAAAGGAGAGGGCAAGGCUGGUGCCAGCCGCCGCGGUAAAACCAGCUCCUCAAGUGGUCGGGAUAAUUAUUGGGCUUAAAGUGUCCGUAGCUGGUUUAGAAAGUUCCUGGUAAAAUCGGGUAGCUUAACUAUCUGUAUGCUAGGAAUACUACUAUACUAGAGGGCGGGAGAGGUCUGAGGUACUACAGGGGUAGGGGUGAAAUCUUAUAAUCCUUGUAGGACCACCAGUGGCGAAGGCGUCAGACUGGAACGCGCCUGACAGUGAGGGACGAAAGCCAGGGGAGCGAACCGGAUUAGAUACCCGGGUAGUCCUGGCCGUAAACGAUGCAUACUAGGUGAUGGUACGGCCAUGAGCCGUAUCAGUGCCGUAGGGAAACCGUUAAGUGUGCCGCCUGGGAAGUACGGUCGCAAGGCUAAAACUUAAAGGAAUUGGCGGGGGAGCACCACAAUGGGUGAAGCCUGCGGUUCAAUUGGAGUCAACGCCGGA
rnacentral:rRNA from 1 species